rnacentral:rRNA from 1 species
UACGUAGGGGGCAAGCGUUGUCCGGAAUCAUUGGGCGUAAAGAGCGUGUAGGCGGCUCGAUAAGUCUGCUGUGAAAGUCCAGGGCUCAACCCUGGAAGGCCGGUGGAAACUGUCGGGCUAGAAUCCGGAAGAGGCGAGUGGAAUUCCCGGUGUAGCGGUGAAAUGCGCAGAUAUCGGGGGGAACACCAAUGGCGAAGGCAGCUCGCUGGGACGGUAUUGACGCUGAGACGCGAAAGCGUGGGGAGCAAACAGG